GUCCAGACUCCUACGGGAGGCAGCAGUGGGGAAUAUUGCACAAUGGGGGAAACCCUGAUGCAGCGACGCCGCGUGAGCGAUGAAGUAUUUCGGUAUGUAAAGCUCUAUCAGCAGGGAAGAAGAUGACGGUACCUGACUAAGAAGCCCCGGCUAACUACGUGCCAGCAGCCGCGGUAAUACGUAGGGGGCAAGCGUUAUCCGGAUUUACUGGGUGUAAAGGGAGCGUAGACGGCGAUGCAAGCCAGAUGUGAAAGUCCGGGGCUCAACCCCGGGACUGCAUUUGGAACUGUGUGGCUGGAGUGUCGGAGAGGCAGGCGGAAUUCCUAGUGUAGCGGUGAAAUGCGUAGAUAUUAGGAGGAACACCAGUGGCGAAGGCGGCCUGCUGGACGAUGACUGACGUUGAGGCUCGAAAGCGUGGGGAGCAAACAGGAUUAGAUACCCUAGUAAC
rnacentral:rRNA from 1 species